GACGAACGCUGGCGGCGUGCUUAACACAUGCAAGUCGAACGGAAAGGCCCUGCUUUUGUGGGUUGCUCGAUUGGCGAACGGGUGAGUAACACGUGAGUAACCUGCCCUUGACUUUGGGAUAACUUCAGGAAACUGGGGCUAAUACCGGAUAGGAGCUCCUGCUGCAUGGUGGGGGUUGGAAAGUUUCGGCGGUUGGGGAUGGACUCGCGGCUUAUCAGCUUGUUGGGGGGGUAGUGGCUUACCAAGGCUUUGACGGGUAGCCGGCCUGAGAGGGUGACCGGCCACAUUGGGACUGAGAUACGGCCCAGACUCCUACGGGAGGCAGCAGUGGGGAAUAUUGCACAAUGGGCGGAAGCCUGAUGCAGCAACGCCGCGUGCGGGAUGACGGCCUUCGGGUUGUAAACCGCUUUCGCCUGUGACGAAGCGUGAGUGACGGUAAUGGGUAAAGAAGCACCGGCUAACUACGUG
rnacentral:rRNA from 1 species